rnacentral:misc_RNA from 1 species
GAAAUGCGAUAAGUAAUGUGAAUUGCAGAAUUCAGUGAAUCAUCGAAUCUUUGAACGCACCUUGCGCUCCUUGGUAUUCCGAGUAGCAUGCCUGUUUGAGUGUCAUGGAAUUCUCAACUCUAUUUGCUUUUGUGAAUAGAGCUUGGAUUUGGAGGUUUAUUGCUGGUACUUGUGAUCGGCUCCUCUUGAAUGCAUUAGCUCGAACCUUUGCGGAUCAGCUAUCGGUGUGAUAAUUGUCUACGCCGUUGCAGUGAAGCAUAUCAAUGGGCUCGGCUUCCAAUCGUCCUUUACUGGACAAUGACUUUGCCCUUUGACCUCAAAUCAGCUAGGAUUACCCGCUGAACUUAAGC